rnacentral:rRNA from 1 species
UUCGCAAUGCCCGAAAGGGUGAACGAGCGACGCCGCGUGCGGGAUGAAGGCCUUCGGGUUGUAAACCGCUUUUGUAAGGGAAAAACUUAAUGAUGGUACCUUGCGAAUAAGAGGUUACUAACUCUGUGCCAGCAGUAGCGGUAAUACAGAGACCUCAAGCGUUAUCCGGAAUCACUGGGCUUAAAGCGCGUGUAGGCGGAUGGGAACGUCGGUCUUUGAAAGCCCCCGGCUCAACCGGGGAAGCGGAGCCGAAACGACCGAUCUGGAGGGACGUAGGGGGACCUGGAACUUCCGGUGGAGCGGUGAAAUGCGUUGAGAUCGGAAGGAACGCCCGUGGCGAAAGCAAGGUCCUGGACGUCUGCUGACGCUGAGACGCGAAAGCUAGGGGAGCAAACGGGAUUAGAUACCCCGGUAGUCCUGGCCGUAAACGUUGGGCACUAAGUAGAGGGGUUUU